rnacentral:rRNA from 1 species
GACGAACGCUGGCGGCGUGCUUAACACAUGCAAGUCGAACGAUGAAGCCCAGCUUGCUGGGUGGAUUAGUGGCGAACGGGUGAGUAACACGUGAGUAACCUGCCCUGGACUCUGGGAUAACCCCGAGAAAUCGGAGCUAAUACCGGAUAGGACCUUCUCCCGCAUGGGGGUUGGUGGAAAGUUUUUCGGUUUGGGAUGGACUCGCGGCCUAUCGGCUUGUUGGUGAGGUAAUGGCUCACCAAGGCGUCGACGGGUAGCCGGCCUGAGAGGGUGACCGGCCACACGGGGACGGAGACACGGCCCAGACUCCUACGGGAGGCAGCAGUGGGGAAUAUUGCACAAUGGGCGCAAGCCUGAUGCAGCAACGCCGCGUGCGGGAUGACGGCCUUCGGGUUGUAAACCGCUUUUAGUAAGGAAGAAGGGGCUUCGGCCUUGACGGUACUUGCAGAAAAAGGACCGGCUAACUACGUGCCAGCAGCCGCCGUAACAC